GGUAGCGUAGCCGAGCGGUCUAAGGCGCUGGUUUAAGGCACCAGUCAUUUCGAUGGCGUCGGUUCAAAUCCCACCGCUGCCA
rnacentral:tRNA from 1 species